rnacentral:rRNA from 1 species
AGUGAACGCUGGCGGUAGGCCUAACACAUGCAAGUCGAACGGCAGCACAGUAAGAGCUUGCUCCUACGGGUGGCGAGUGGCGGACGGGUGAGGAAUACAUCGGAAUCUACUUUUUCGUGGGGGAUAACGUAGGGAAACUUACGCUAAUACCGCAUACGGCCUACGGGUGAAAGCAGGGGAUCUUCGGACCUUGCGCGAUUGAAUGAGCCGAUGUCGGAUUAGCUAGUUGGCGGGGUAAAGGCCCACCAAGGCGACGAUCCGUAGCUGGUCUGAGAGGAUGAUCAGCCACACUGGAACUGAGACACGGUCCAGACUCCUACGGGAGGCAGCAGUGGGGAAUAUUGGACAAUGGGCGCAAGCCUGAUCCAGCCAUACCGCGUGGGUGAAGAAGGCCUUCGGGUUGUAAAGCCCUUUUGUUGGGAAAGAAAAGCAGCAGGUUAAUACCCCGCUGUUCUGACGGUACCCAAAGAAUAAGCACCGGCUAACUUCGUG